rnacentral:lncRNA from 1 species
UCUGCCCCACGGGCAUCACUCCCCUGUUCUUGUACUUUUCCAUCUUCUAUUCAAUAGAAAGUCACGUUCGACUAUUCAGGCCGACCAGAUUUUGUAUUGUGCUAGCUAUUCGGCUCAUCUCCCAGCUUAAUUUCCGACUUUCCCCGCAUAUUCGGCUCAUCCAGCCGAACCGAAGAGUGAAAAGAGCUUUCGGACUCGGCUGAUUCGAUCCCUCAUCAGCCGAAUCGCUUGAUCCAAUCGAAGGGCGCAAACUUCGAAGGUCACUAUUCGCAGCCGUUCCUCACCCCGACGUGCUUCCCCGAGGAGGAUCUUUGACCGGGUCAAAGGUCGGGAAAUUCGGCUACCAACAAUAACAUUUAAAAAAAAAUUAAAUAACAGAAGGAAUAUUAGACAAUUAAAAAUCUCAUACAUAAAUUAUACAUAAAUUAAAGGCUAAAUUACAUAAACCCCCCUGUCAAAAUCCGAUUUUUUACUUUCCCCCCUGUCAUUUAAAAACCUACACUUUUCCCCCUUAUAAAAUAAAAAAUGUUCACUUCGUCCCCUGCCGUUAGUAAUCCGUUAGGGUUCCGUUUAUAUAAUAUUAUUAUAUUUUUUUUAUGCCAAAAAUACCGCCAGCCUUCUCUCCUGUGAAUAUGGUGAGGGGCAAAAUGGUGAGAGGCAAAAUGGUCAUUUCAUCAUCACAGUUCACACUGUACUCCCUGUGAAUAUUUUUUAUUUUACAAGGAGGCAAAGUGUAGGUUUUUAAAUGACAGGAGGGGAAAAUAAGAAAUUAGGUUUUGACAGGGAGAUUUUCUGUAAUUUAGCCAAAAUUAAAUAACAGAAGAAACUAAAAAUAAUUAAAAACUGUAUAUGUAAAAUAAAUGUAUUUAAUUGUAUACAUAAAUAAACUUAGUCUUUAAAACAUUUAAUAAAAUACUGGCCAAUUUGCAUAAAAAAUUUAUCAGUUUUACAUUUUUGCAAAAAAAAGCACCAUUAUCAAAUUAACAGAUUCGGCUUGAAUAUUUAGGAAACUAAUCAAAAUACUAUAAUUUAUUUUUCUCUCUCUUUUUUUCUCUCAUUCGUCUUUUACGCUCCCUGUUCGUCUUCUUCCUCCUUGCCAUUUCUUUCUCUCCUUUUCCUUCUUGCUUCCUUUUCUUUCUCUUUCUCAUCCAUCAUCCCAACAUCUAUGUCGUGCUCUACUCUCUUAUCUCGGUGACACCUCCGCGGACAUCGGCUUGGAUAUGAUGAUCGCGUGAGGUGAGCUUAUAGCAAAACACAUGGCCAUGAAUGAUGACGGCGAUGAGGGUACCAAAGAAUUUAAACACGAUAGAGUGGGAGAGUGUGUCCGACACGGACGGUGGCCGUGGUAGAAGGCGAGGGAGAGGAUACAAUAGUGGAAGAAGAUUUAGAAAGUAGAAGAAAAAAAUUAGGAUAAAGAAUAAAACGAAAAAAAUAAAGAAAAAAUAUUUUUUUUUUCUACAUGAAAGACUGUUAUGUAUCGUUGCUGCUAUAGAAAAGAUUAAUAAUCAGAGAAAAAAAAAAGAGAUGAAGUUACACUAUUAAAAUGAAGUUGCAUUAUUUCAGAAAAAAGUUACACUAUUUGAGAUAAAAAUAUACUUUUUGAGAGGAAAGUUGCGCUAUUUGAGCUAAAUUUGCACUGUUUGAGACGAAACUACCACUCUUUGAGCAAAAGUUGCAUGGUUGAGAUAAAAAUUGUACUUUUUGAGUAAAAAUUACACCAUUUAAAACUAUUUGAAACUAAGUUGCAGCACAUAAAAUGUAGUGUCCCUAGGAUUUAGUUGACGGAAUGACUACAAUAUCAGCGACUUGUCGACACAUCUGUAGAGUGUCGGGACAAGUCGAAAUUGUUUUACCACGAAAUGGAUGCGAAAACGGACUCGGUGC